CCACUUGGAUUGCAGAUUUUGAAGCUUGGUUCUCGAUUUUGUGAGUUUCAAUUUGUUUAGCUAUUUUUUUUUUCUUCAAAUGUUGACUCUAUUUCCCAUUUUCAUUGUCUUGAUGUAGCAUAUAUGUGCCUCAUUAAGAGAAUUGAGAUAUAUCUGGUAUUGUUUAGACUACGAUGAUGGCAUGAGGUGUUUGGAUCUGAUCCGGACCUGAAUUGUGAACCCUGUACUCAACACCCUCAACUUAAAUCUUUAGGUAUUGGCAGGCAGCAGGGGAGAGGAAAGGAGAGAAUCCAAUGAAAACACCCAUUCCCUACAUUAUCAUAUUCGGCAUGCCACCCUACCAAAUAGUAUACAUGAAUCUCACUUGGCAGACAUGCUUGCGAGCAGUCUGAGCAUAUGACAUAAAGAUGAGACAGUGGCAAAGUUCAGUUUUGAGAUUCAAGGUGAAUGUUUUUAUCAUAGGCCAAUGCUGAGUUGACUGUUUUGUUGAGUGGCUGUGCUUUGGCAAGAUGCCCUAAAUAUAACCUUAUAAAUAUCAAGUUACCUUACAACUUUCAGUCGGCAAAGAGCACUUCCAUUUUUGAGUAACAAAAGUGCACGAUUAGCAGAGGCGACUUAACAAAAUUCAAGGAGCAGGUACUGCUCAUUGCUGUUUAUUUGCAUUCAUAUGUUACUGCAGCUGCCUGCUCAUAACAAGUGAAGAGGUGAAAUUUCACUUCUUUCAACUUUGAGGGAUGCUUGUAUCUGUGCCAGUGUUGACAUAGUGAGGACAACAUUCGUCUUUUAACUGAGGAAAUCCACAUUGGCAAUCAGUAAGGUCAUGGUCUCUUUGUUUCUCAGCUUUACCAUUUCUCUCGAUUUUGUAUUUUUAAUGAUCCUUCCACUGCUUCAGUGGUACUAGAAGAGAAGGUUCCCCUGAUUUUCCAUCUCUUGACGGUUAGGUUUUUCUAAUAGGUCAGAGAUACUAGCAAUUUUUAGAAGCCCCUCUUGCGCACUUACAGCUAUGCCAUAAAGAAGAAAGAUGAGACCAACUGCAGAUUUAUUUGAAUCAUUGCUGGCUUUGGUGGUUGACAUGCCUUCCUCACUUUAGAUGGUAUGAACAAUAGAUCUUGCAAUGCACUUGCUAACCUCUUUAGUUGCUUUAGCGGCAGGCCUGAGACAUGCAUCCUCAAGCACAAGG